CAGUCGCCACGGUAAUCCGGAGGGUGCAAGCGUUAAUCGGAAUUACUGGGCGUAAAGCGCACGCAGGCGGUCUGUCAAGUCAGAUGUGAAAUCCCCGGGCUUAACCUGGGAACUGCAUUUGAAACUGGCAGGCUAGAGUCUUGUAGAGGGGGGUAGAAUUCCAGGUGUAGCGGUGAAAUGCGUAAAGAUCUGGAGGAACACCGGUGGCGAAGGCGGCCCCCUGGACAAAGACUGACGCUCAGGUGCGAAAGCGUGGGGAGCAAACAGGAUUAGAUACCCCGGUAGUCCCUGUCUCUUAUAC
rnacentral:rRNA from 1 species